rnacentral:piRNA from 2 species
UCGGGGUUUCGUACGUAGCAGAG